GAUGAACGCUGGCGGCGUGCCUAAUACAUGCAAGUCGAGCGAACGGACGAGAAGCUUGCUUUUCUGAUGUUAGCGGCGGACGGGUGAGUAACACGUGGAUAACCUACCUAUAAGACUGGGAUAACUUCGGGAAACCGGAGCUAAUACCGGAUAAUAUUUUGAACCGCAUGGUUCAAAAGUGAAAGACGGUCUUGCUGUCACUUAUAGAUGGAUCCGCGCUGCAUUAGCUAGUUGGUAAGGUAACGGCUUACCAAGGCAACGAUGCAUAGCCGACCUGAGAGGGUGUCCGGCACAACUGAAACGGGGACACGGUCCAGACUUAACGGAAGGCAGAGUUGGGGAAUCUUCCGAAAUGGGCGAAAGCCUAACGGAGCAACGCGGCGUGAGUGAGGAGGGCUUCCGGUUGGUAAAACCCUGUAAUUGGGAAGAACAUAUGUGUAAGUAACUGUGCACAUCUUGACGGUACCUAAUCAGAAAGCCACGGCUAACUACGUG
rnacentral:rRNA from 1 species